rnacentral:tRNA from 1 species
GCCUGGGUGGCUCAGUCGGCUGGGCGUCUGACUUCUGCUCAGGUCACCAUCUCACGGUUUGUGGGUUCGAGACCUGCAUCGGGCU